AUAUGGGUGGGUCUUAUGGGAGAAGUUGAACGCCCUUCAGGGUGGGCGAAUGCUACUUUCUUCAAACAGACUGGAAGAAGCAAUGAAAUUGAGGUGUGGAUGAACUUAAAUGAAAAAAUAAUGUCUGCGGUAGAGCGUGACCCCGAGUUCCUCGAAUUCUCUACUCCAAAUCCUAGUAUUUUCAUGCCUCAUGUAUCAUCUUAAUUAAUACAUAAUUGUUUUUAAAUAUUUCUCCGACUGUGAGUGCUUUAUUGCAUAUGUUUUCAUGGAGUUGAUGUUAUUUUUUUCUUUUUUCUUUCUUUUGGGUGGUUCUGCUCUUCUUAUGCUGUGUGCUUCCUGUUUUUUCAUAUUUUAUUGUGGUCACAUAUUCUAUAAGGCUGCAGAUAGGGCUUUUGUGGUCGCCCAAAUUUUUAGCUUUCCAGGAUAGUAGAGUUUUAAUUUCACGUUGCUCAUGAUAAAUAAUGGAUCGAUCAUGUGUGGGCAAGCUUUUUGUCA